rnacentral:rRNA from 1 species
AACGGGGGGGACAAGUGUUAUUCGUCUUGAUUGGGCGUAAAGGGUGCCUAGAUUGGGGCUUAAAUUUUUACUUAAAUUCUUGGUCUUAAGCUGAGAUAGGGUAUUUAUAUUGGGUUUCUUGAGUAUAGCGUAGGCAAACAGUACCCUCAGUGUAGAGGUAGAAUUCUGUGAUAUUGAAGGGGACUUUCGGAGACGAAGGUGGUUUUCCUUGCUAUACUGACGUUGAAGCACGAAAGCGUGGGGAGCAAACAGG